AACGAUGAAAGAUUAAACCCUAAACUUAUUUAUGAAUCGACUUAAACUACAAUCAUUUGAACAAUGUUAAAAUGUAUAAUAUUUCAACUAAGUAAACCCAAUAAUUAGACAUGGCCUACUUUGGAUAUAUCCGGUACACAUCCAGCAUUCUCAGAUAAAGUCCAAAUGAACAAUUUUUUGGACUGUCAAACCACAUAUAUAACUAUUAUACUAAUACGAAUAUCUAUACAAAUGGCUAAUUCAUAUACUAGCACAUCAGUUUCGGAAUAUUUAAACACUAAAAUAGAAAUGAUGAACUAGAUGACUUGCAAAUAGUAUACAUGAAGAUAAAACUAGAAUUUGAACACCCAACUUCAUUACAUCAAAUACUAAUUCAUGUUUUAAGCUUCACCUUGCCAUUCAAAGUUCAUGGAGGUAUCUGGAUACAAGAACAAAACAUGGUAGUGAGCUGAGGUGAACAAUGAAACAGCCCAACAGAAGAUGCAGUCAGCAGCAGAGACAAAACAUGCAACACAGCUCUAAAUUACCAUGUUUGGACCUUGGACAACCAGACAUUUCCAAAGAAACUGUGUUCUAACUCCCUUUUCAAAAUCAAAAUUUAGGCCGGAACUCUAAUAAAACAGUAGCACUCAAAUUUUUGUAUUUUUUUAGGAACUCGAAAUCUCCCUAAGGAGUGAGGGAAAGAUUCUAUGUAAAAGCCCUG
rnacentral:lncRNA from 1 species